rnacentral:rRNA from 1 species
UACGUAGGGUGCAAGCGUUGUCCGGAAUUAUUGGGCGUAAAGAGCUUGUAGGCGGUUUGUCGCGUCUGCUGUGAAAUUUCGGGGCUCAACCCCGAACUUGCAGUGGGUACGGGCAGACUAGAGUGUGGUAGGGGAGACUGGAAUUCCUGGUGUAGCGGUGAAAUGCGCAGAUAUCAGGAAGAACACCAACGGCGAAGGCAGCUCGCUGGGACGGAACUGACGCUGAGGCGCGAAAGCGUGGGGAGCGAACAGG